rnacentral:rRNA from 1 species
UACGAAGGGGGCUAGCGUUGUUCGGAAUUACUGGGCGUAAAGCGCACGUAGGCGGAUAUUUAAGUCAGGGGUGAAAUCCCAGAGCUCAACUCUGGAACUGCCUUUGAUACUGGGUAUCUCGAGUAUGGAAGAGGUGAGUGGAAUUCCGAGUGUAGAGGUGAAAUUCGUAGAUAUUCGGAGGAACACCAGUGGCGAAGGCGGCUCACUGGACCGGUACUGACGCUGAGGCGCGAAAGCGUGGGGAGCAAACAGG